rnacentral:rRNA from 1 species
GACGAACGCUGGCGGCGUGCUUAACACAUGCAAGUCGAACGGAAAGGCCCUGCUUUUGUGGGGUGCUCGAGUGGCGAACGGGUGAGUAACACGUGAGUAACCUGCCCUUGACUUUGGGAUAACUUCAGGAAACUGGGGCUAAUACCGGAUAGGAGCUCCUGCUGCAUGGUGGGGGUUGGAAAGUUUCGGCGGUUGGGGAUGGACUCGCGGCUUAUCAGCUUGUUGGUGGGGUAGUGGCUUACAGAGGCUUUGACGGGUAGCCGGCCUGAGAGGGUGACCGGCCACAUUGGGACUGAGAUACGGCCCAGACUCCUACGGGAGGCAGCAGUGGGGAAUAUUGCACAAUGGGCGGAAGCCUGAUGCAGAAACGCCGCGUGCGGGAUGACGGCCUUCGGGUUGUAAACCGCUUUCGCCUGUGACGAAGCGUGAGUGACGGUAAUGGGUAAAGAAGCACCGGCUAACUACGUG